AGGGUGUAAACGCUGCAGACUUGGUGUUGGGAACCCUUCGGGGUGCUCAGUGCCGGAGAGAAGUUGUUAAGUCUGCUACUUGGGAGUACGUCCGCAAGGAUGAAACUUAAAGGAAUUGGCGGGGGAGCACCGCAACGGGAGGAGCGUGCGGUUUAAUUGGAUUCAACGCCGAAAAACUCACCAGCAGCGACUGUUACAUGAAGGCCGAGAUGAAGACUCUGCUAGAUUUUCAGAGAGGUGGUGCAUGGCGUCAGUGACU
rnacentral:rRNA from 1 species